UACGGAGGGGGCUAGCGUUGCUCGGAAUUACUGGGCGUAAAGCGCACGUAGGCGGCUUUCUAAGUCGGGGGUGAAAUCCUGGAGCUCAACUCCAGAACUGCCUUCGAUACUGGAGAGCUCGAGUCCGGGAGAGGUGAGUGGAACUGCGAGUGUAGAGGUGAAAUUCGUAGAUAUUCGCAAGAACACCAGUGGCGAAGGCGGCUCACUGGCCCGGUACUGACGCUGAGGUGCGAAAGCGUGGGAAGCAAACAGG
rnacentral:rRNA from 1 species